CCCUUAGAUGUCCUGGGCAGCACGCGUGCUACAAUGAUGCAUUCAACGAGUCCUGCCUUAACCGAAAGGUUCGGGUAAACUUUUGAAAUUGCAUCUUGUCGGGGCUUGAUCAUUGUAAUUUUUGAUCACAAACAAGGAAUUCCUUGUAAAUGUGAGUCAUCAACUUGCAUUGAAUACGUCCCUGCCCUUUGUACACACCGCCCGUCGCUUCUACCGAUGAAUGAUCCGGUGAACACUCUGGACUUGUUGUCUGUCGGAGCAAUCCAAAGACGAUAGGGAAGUUGUGUAAACCUUAUCAUUUAGAGGAAGAAGAAGUCGUAACA
rnacentral:rRNA from 1 species